rnacentral:rRNA from 1 species
AUUGAACGCUGGCGGCAUGCCUUACACAUGCAAGUCGAACGGCAGCGGGCCCUUCGGGGUGCCGGCGAGUGGCGAACGGGUGAGUAAUGCAUCGGAACGUACCCGGGAGAGGGGGAUAACCGGCCGAAAGGCUGGCUAAUACCGCAUGAACUCGGAAGAGCAAAGCCGGGGACCUUCGGGCCUCGCGCUCUCGGAGCGGCCGAUGUCCGAUUAGGCUAGUUGGUGGGGUAAAGGCCCACCAAGGCGACGAUCGGUAGCGGGUCUGAGAGGACGAUCCGCCACACUGGGACUGAGACACGGCCCAGACUCCUACGGGAGGCAGCAGUGGGGAAUCUUGGACAAUGGGCGCAAGCCUGAUCCAGCAAUGCCGCGUGGGUGAAGAAGGCCUUCGGGUUGUAAAGCCCUUUCGGCGGGGAAGAAAUCGGUCAGGCGAAUAGUCUGGCCGGAUGACGGUACCCGCAGAAGAAGCACCGGCUAACUACGUG